ensembl:lncRNA
GUAUGAGAAGACAUUUAAAGCAACAAGCAAGACCUAGGUGUAAAUCGUUGUUGCUUUCAAAAUAAAACCAGCUGGAUAAAAAUCGCCCGUGAAGAAGAACCGUACAAUCGUUCAGGUUAUGGUUAAGGUGUUAUGGCUCAGAUAACAAAGUAAUGCAACUUUAGCUGAAAAAAGGAAAUGUACAUAAUGAGUACGUAUUUGGUCAUGUUAAACGUUGUAUUUCAAUAUGGGUUUUAUUUUGAAACUUGGGAAGGGACGUCUCUCUAACUUUGGAGUUAGUUACACCUUGCUGCGUCCCACCCAUAAAACCUGUGUGCAUUUGCCAUAAAAGUGCACAGGUGGGUCUGUGAGACGUGGACAGAGGACAGCUACGGACCCAAAUGGAGAGCAAGACUCCGUCCAAAGGUCCUGUCGGAGCAGGUGCCUGUGGUCUGCAGCCCCUUCCUGAGGUAGCCGAGCCCGAAGACCUGAGCAAUGUGGAGGGCAGCAAGUGCCAACCCGGACACCCUGCAGGGGCAAGAGAUGCAAAGGAGGUGCACUCAUUGGACAGCUCUCCGUCUUCCUCGGAGAGCGAGGACGAGGGUCUCUGCAAGAAAGACAAGAAGAAGAAAAAGCUGAAAAAGAAAACAAAGAAGAAGAAGAAGAAGGAUUCCAGCUCAUCCUCUUCCUCCUCCUCCUCCUCCUCCUCCUCCUCCAGUAGCUCUUCAGAGAGUGACAGCGAGGAUGACAAGAAGAAGAAGAAGAAAAAGCAGAAGAAGGACGAAGGGCAGAAAGAGUGUGUCCGGGACGAUGUUAUCAUAUGUAGUCCUGGUGGCCAGAUGGAGCAGCCGGGUGCAGAAGGUGCAGAAGGUGUGAAGAUGAGCCAGGAUUGUAACUCCUCAGAUGGUGAAGAUGACAAGAAGAAGAAGAAGAAGAAGAAGAAGAAGAAGAAGAAGCAGGACAAGAAGAAGAAGAAAAAGAAGAAGGACUCAAGCUCCUCUUCCUCAGACAGCUCUUCAUCAUCCUCUGACAGCGAGGAUGACAAGAAGAAAAAGGACAAGAAGAAGAAGAAGAAGAAAAAGAAAGACAAGAAAAAGGAUUCCAGCUGCUCGUCUUCAUCUUCAUCUUCUGACAGUGAUAAAGAUGAGAAGAAAAAGAAGAACAAGAAGAAGAAGAAGAAGAAGAAGAAGAAGAAUGACAAGGAAAAGAAGAACAAGAAACACGAUGAAGAGCAGAAUGAGCUCUGCGGUGGAGCUGCUCCUCCAGCUUCUGGUGAGUGUUUUUCUGCAGGUGGUGAGACUCCGGGACCAAGUGCUGAUGGAGAGAAAAAGAAAGACGAUUCUGCCGACAAGGUCAAGAAAGAGCCUAAAGAAAAAGAAAAAUGUGGAGCAAAGGCCUUCGCUGACGCUAUUGAGGAAGGCCACCUGAGUGACGACGAGGGAGAAGGAGAGAACCACAAGAAGAAGAAGAAGAAGAUGCUGAAGAAGAAGAAGGAGAAGGGUUCCGGCUCAUCAUCAGACAGUGAUGACGACGAAGAAGACAAGAAGAAGAAAAAGAAGAAGAAGGAGAAGGACUCCUCCAGCUCCUCCUCUUCGUCUGAUAGUUGCUCCUCAGAUAGUGAUGAGGACAAGAAGAAGAAGAAGAAGAAGAAGAAGAAGGAUUCUGGAUCCUGCUCGUCUUCUUCAUCCUCUGAUAGCGAAGAGGACAAGAAGAAGAAGAAGAAGAAGAAGAAGAAGAAGAAGAAGAAAAAGAAGAAGAAGAUGAAGGAUAAGGACUCCUCCUCUUCUUCAUGCUCGGAUAGUGAAGAGGACAAGAAGAAGAAGAAGAAGAAGAAGAAGAAGAAGAAGACGAAGAAGAAGAAGAAGGAUAAGGACUCCUCGUCUUCUUCAUGCUCUGAUAGUGAAGAGGACAAGAAGAAGAAGAAGACGAAGAAGAAGAAGGAUAAGGACUCCUCGUCUUCUUCAUGCUCUGAUAGUGAAGAGGACAAGAAGAAGAAGAAGAAGAAGAAGAAGAAGAAGAAGAAGACGAAGAAGAAGAAGGAUAAGGACUCGUCCUCUCCUUCAUGCUCUGAUACUGAAGAGGACAAGAAGAAGAAGAAGAAGAAGAAGAAGAAGUCCUCUUGCGCUGAGAGUGAUGACGACAAGAAGAAGAAGAAGAAGAAGAAAGAUAAGAAGAAGAAGAAGAAAAAGAAGGAUUGUUCCUCUGGAUCGUCCAGUGAUUCGAGUGAUAAUGACAAGAAGAAGAAGAAGAAGAAGAAGAAGAAGAAAAGGAAAGAUAAGAAGAAAAAGAAAGACAAGAAGAAGGACUCCGAUUCUUCUACCAGUGCUGAUGACAAAAAGAAGAAGAAAGACAAGAAGAAGAAAAAGAAGGACAAAAAGAAGGACUCAAAGUCCAGUUCAUCGUGUCCAUCUGACGGCAGUGACAAGGAGAAUAAAAAGGACAAGAAGAAGAAGAGGUCUGGUUCAUCAGGAAGUGAAACUGACAAUAAGAAAAAGAGGGAAUGCUCUGAUGGCGAGCGAGGCGGCGAAGAUCCCGGUGCCGGUCGGGCCGGACUUUCAGCUCCCGGUGGCAGCUGCUCUACGCCUGCCGCUGCUCCCGCCGUCCCCUACGUGUCCCUCCCCUCCAAACCUGUUGUGAAGAUGGAUCCUCUGCGUCCUUCAACUGUCUGCCGGCCCUCUGCCCCUGUCUCCUCUGCCCCCGCCUCUUCUGCCCCUGUCUCCUCUGCCCCCGCCUCUUCUGCCCCUGUCUCCUCUGCGCCCGCCUCUUCUGCCCCUGUCUCCUCUGCGCCCGCCUCUUCUGCCCCCGCCUCUUCUGCCCCUGUCUCCUCUGCGCCCGCCUCUUCUGCCCCUGUCUCCUCUGCGCCCGCCUCUUCUGCCCCUGUCUGCUCUGCCCCCGCCUCUUCUGUCCCUGGGUCCUAUGUCCCUGGGUCCUUUGUCGCUGGCUCCUAUGUCCCUGGGUCCUAUGUCCCCGGCUCCUCGAGUGUUGGAGAUAAGGCCCCCAAUCGUAGGCCUCCCAGCCCCAUGGAGGCCCUGAUGGGGAGCCCGAGGCGGUACGGCUCCUCCCAUCUCAGCUCAAGCGACCUAUUGAAAGGCCCCAAGCCUUAUCAAUGAUGAGAUCAAAACACGCGUUACUCGUGUUUCCUUUUAAAGCAACUGGAGGAUGUCGACCAUGAGAGGAGAUAUGAUUCCUUGAUUUCAUGCUGGAUAAAUGUGAUGACUGGUGGAAAAACGUAUUGUGACACGAUGAAAAUGUCCAAGAUGAGAAGUAUAAUCCAAACAUGGAAAGUCACGAUUGUGUUUUUAAUCAAUAAAGCGCACAUGUGUAAUAAUACUACA